GAUGAACGCUGGCGGCGUGCCUAAUACAUGCAAGUCGAGCGAACGGACGAGAAGCUUGCUUCUCUGAUGUUAGCGGCGGACGGGUGAGUAACACGUGGAUAACCUACCUAUAAGACUGGGAUAACUUCGGGAAACCGGAGCUAGUACCGGAUAAUAUUUUGAACCGCAUGGUUCAAAAGUGAAAGACGGUCUUGCUGUCACUUAUAGAUGGAUCCGCGCUGCAUUAGCUAGUUGGUAAGGUAACGGCUUACCAAGGCAACGAUGCAUAGCCGACCUGAGAGGGUGAUCGGCCACACUGGAACUGAGACACGGUCCAGACUCCUACGGGAGGCAGCAGUAGGGAAUCUUCCGCAAUGGGCGAAAGCCUGACGGAGCAACGCCGCGUGAGUGAUGAAGUUCUUCGGAUCGUAAAACUCUGUUAUUAGGGAAGAACAUAUGUGUAAGUAACUGUGCACAUCUUGACGGUACCUAAUCAGAAAGCCACGGCUAACUACGUG
rnacentral:rRNA from 1 species